rnacentral:misc_RNA from 1 species
AAGGAUAGAAACACAACAGCAUGUGCUGAAGCGCAUGCAGGCGGACCCGUGUGUGCUUCACAGGCCUCCGCUUUCAACAUAGUUGUCGCUGCAGCGUGGUCACGAUCGCCGACGAUGCCGCCAUUGUUUCCUGCAGGACAACGUCAGCCAACUCUCUUGAAUCGAUUGGCGUCUGCCACGCCAACCCGAAAGGCGGCUGCAUUGCCCAACUCGACAACCUCGCUUUCAUCGACCGCCAACAGCGUCCGCUGCAGCUCACCAGGCCUCCCUUCGUCGUCUACCGCCGCCACGAUCAGCAGCAGCAAGGAAUCCCUCUCCCUGCUCAACCGUGUUGAUGAACUCGCAGGUACGACGCAGCCGCACAGCACGACGAGGGCGUUCAGCUGCUGCUGCUGCUGCGACGACGAUAAUAAAGGGACGGACAUGCUGCUCGGCGAGCUUCUCUUCGGUGCCGAUGGAAGACGGGGUGCCGAUCUGUCUUCUCCGCGUAGUCCUCCUCCUGCGGUGUCACCUGCCUCGCUUGGCAUUGCGACUCCUGCGUCUGCUGCUGCCACGGCAUCUGGAGCCGAGCCGCCACGCCCGCGCCGCGGUCGCCCGCCGCCACACCUUAAGCAGACAACCUUGGAUCUAGGUCAGGCGGAGCCGACGAUGGCCACGCGUUGCCCGCUCUGCCGCAUGUUGUACACUGCCGAGAACGACGAGGACGCCGCGCUGCACCGGCGCUUCUGCCGAGAAGGGCAGCUGCGUCGCCGCGGCCGGGGCCCAUACGAUGCGCCGUCGUCCUUCACGGGUGCCUGCCGCUCGCAACGCGCUCGGACGGAAACCGCAGCGAGUCCGUUGGCGUCCCUGUCACGCCCGGCAGCGGUAGCAGUGCGCAUGCUGGAGGAGCUGAGUGGUGCAAGCUUGGGACACUCGCCCAGUCCUUUGCUAGGGAGCACCACAGCGACGGUACGACGAGGUGGUCCGCGUCGCCGCGAGAUCGGGGCUCGCGGGUUUGCCAAGGCAACCUACACGGCGACCGAGACGCGGAAUACGGCGGCAGAUGCCACAGUCUCCCUGUGCACCUGUGUCCUCUGCCCGCGCUCGUCGUUGUCCUCGCCGCCCCACCUCUCCUCACCUCUGGCGGUGUUUCGCAUCUCUCUCAACGCGUGUGGUGUGGCGGAUAGCAAUGGAGGCUGCACGGCGCUCAGGCUAUUGGAGCUGCUGGACUUCACCCCAGUUGUACUACGCGCCGCCGCCGAGGGUGUGGCUGACCCGCAGACGGCAUCCUCGUCCGUCUUGCGCGGAAGCGUCCCUGCCGCGCCGACAGUGAGGGGCAGCGCUGCGUCGACUGUUUAUGUGGUAUGCGUGGUAGACACCGUGCUGCGACUGCUUCUAUGCGCCGUGGUCGGGGAGCCGCGGCGGCGGGAGCAAGAUCCAGAGCUGUGCGUGGAGCGGCGCGCUGACGGGGCAACGGUGUGCAGCACACGUCGGCACUUCACGCACGGCGACGUAGCGGGACUUUGGGUGCUCUCCCCUGCCGAGCUCAGCGCCGCGCAGAAAGCGUGGGAGAAGAGCACCGCGGCACCGUUUGCAUCGACCCGUCAGAUGCUGGAGAGCUUUUUUGGUACGCGCGCAGGCGGUGGUGCCCCAUCUUCGGCUCAAUCAAGCGCCGCUCACGUCACUGAGAAGGCCCACGAGCGGUGUCAACAGGCGGCUGGGGUCGCACUACAUGCGCUGGCCCAAUACCUCGUGUACGGCAGCAGUCUGUGCCCUUCGCGGCAACUCUCUUAUUCACAGGCGGCCCUCGCAGCGGCGGAGCACCUGGGCACCGGCUUUAUGGAGCAGUGCUUGGCAGUCGCUUCCUCCUGCUGCCCCGCCGGUUCCACGCCUACACCACGCGAAGACGGGGCAGAGCCGCGGCCGCUGUACACACACGGCGACGGCGCCGAUGGCGGCAGCGACAGUGACGACGCCAACGAAGAUGCCAGUGGGGUCAUCGGUGAAUGACGAGACCGCCGCAGCGGCAUCGUCAUGAUUCCUGAAGCGCGGCCGGCGCGUGAGCGGGGGAGGGGGUUCUGCCGCUACAGUGCAAGCGGUGUUUUGCACCAGUGCGCGCCUGUGGUAUAGCGCGCAUAGGAGAGGCGCCCACACGGUAGCAGCCGCAGCAUCCGCUUACCGACCCACUCACCCCAUUUUCGCGGCCCUGCAUAAAAGGUGAGGGUGUGCUGGUAACGAUUGGGCCGCACCGUUGCCCCAGGCACGCGCACGCACACAUACACCGAUGCACGUACGCAUAGGCAUCGACAUAGAUAGCUGUAGCCCUACAUACGCGCAGCGGUCAACGACAUAAAUCGAUGCAUAUUACAUAUCUAUAGAGAUAAAUAUCUACAUACAUGCGCGGGAUGCGUGCACGAGAUGGGGAGGCGGCACACACGUGUGCGUUCUGUGACGCCCCCAUGCACGGGGGGGGGGGGGGCGGUCCAUUCCUGUGUGGAUGGGUCUGCCUCUACACUCUACCUCUCCCUCCGACCUCUACUGCAUUGCCCUUCUUGCCCCGCGUGAAUGGUGCACCCCUCAACCUUCUCUCGCCUUGACGCUGAACACACGCGCACACGCCGUGAUGCGCAUACGCACGUGCGCCUUGACAUUUUGGGAGAGAAG